AUUGAACGCUGGCGGCAUGCCUUACACAUGCAAGUCGAACGGUAACAGGUCUUCGGAUGCUGACGAGUGGCGAACGGGUGAGUAAUACAUCGGAACGUGCCUAGUAGUGGGGGAUAACUACUCGAAAGAGUGGCUAAUACCGCAUGAGAUCUACAGAUGAAAGCAGGGGAUCGCAAGACCUUGUGCUACUAGAGCGGCCGAUGGCAGAUUAGGUAGUUGGUGGGAUAAAAGCUUACCAAGCCGACGAUCUGUAGCUGGUCUGAGAGGACGACCAGCCACACUGGGACUGAGACACGGCCCAGACUCCUACGGGAGGCAGCAGUGGGGAAUUUUGGACAAUGGGCGAAAGCCUGAUCCAGCAAUGCCGCGUGCAGGAUGAAGGCCUUCGGGUUGUAAACUGCUUUUGUACGGAACGAAAAGCCCCGGGUUAAUACCCUGGGGUCAUGACGGUACCGUAAGAAUAAGCACCGGCUAACUACGUGCCAGCCGCCGCUGUAA
rnacentral:rRNA from 1 species